rnacentral:sRNA from 1 species
CCAUAAAUAUAUUAACGAAAAGAUACGACAAAAAAACACGACUGUAAAACAAACAUUAAAUAUUUUAACGAAAAGUUAUGAUAAAAAAUGCAACCGUUUAGAAAUGCAAAAACAUUUAUUGAGAUUGUUAUUGCUAUUAGAUUCCAAAAAACUUUGGUUAGAUCAAGAACUAGAGGUAUUAUUUUCAUAUUAAAAUGAUGUAUGUAAGUAUGUUUAUAAAUAGUUUAGAGAGUAAAGAAUGUGGAGCCGUUUUCCAGAUUAAUGUUUUUGAAUUGAUCAUUAAGCAAAUAAUAUGUGUGAAUGAACAAAAAUAUGGUUAGGAAGAAAGACAAAUAUAGAGUUCAACCGACUUUGAAUAAACAACUUUGUUUAUCCGAAAAUAGUGACAAAAAAUGCAAAGAAAUCUAAUGAAGAGACGUAACUUUAAAUGAAUAGAUGCAACAAUAAAGACACAACCGCAAACUGAAAAGAUACGACUGUAGUUGAACAAAUAUAACUGCAAAAAAAUUAACCGUAAAUAUUUUAACAAACAAAUACGAUAAAAAGAUGGGAGAUUUGCAAAACUAUCAUUUUUCUACUACCUUUUGCAACAAUACCCGUUCAUGUUGUUCAUUUUUAAAAAUACUCUUUCCCUUGAACAUAAUGAUUAAAUUACCCUCAUCAAAUAGGAACAUGUAAUUGGAAACUGAAAUUUUCCCGCCAAAAAAAAAAUUUCGCCAAACUUUUUUCCCGCAAAAAAAAAUUUCUCGCCA